rnacentral:rRNA from 1 species
GGAUCUGCCCGAUAGAGGGGGAUAACCACUGGAAACGGUGGCUAAUACCGCAUAACGUCGCAAGACCAAAGAGGGGGACCUUCGGGCCUCUCACUAUCGGAUGAACCCAGAUGGGAUUAGCUAGUAGGCGGGGUAACGGCCCACCUAGGCGACGAUCCCUAGCUGGUCUGAGAGGAUGACCAGCCACACUGGAACUGAGACACGGUCCAGACUCCUACGGGAGGCAGCAGUGGGGAAUAUUGCACAAUGGGCGCAAGCCUGAUGCAGCCAUGCCGCGUGUAUGAAGAAGGCCUUCGGGUUGUAAAGUACUUUCAGCGGGGAGGAAGGCAGUGAGGUUAAUAACCUUACUGAUUGACGUUACCCGCAGAAGAAGCACCGGCUAACUCCGUGCCAGCAGCCGCGGUAAUACGGAGGGUGCAAGCGUUAAUCGGAAUUACUGGGCGUAAAGCGCACGCAGGCGGUCUGUUAAGUCAGAUGUGAAAUCCCCGGGCUUAACCUGGGAACUGCAUUUGAAACUGGCAGGCUUGAGUCUCGUAGAGGGGGGUAGAAUUCCAGGUGUAGCGGUGAAAUGCGUAGAGAUCUGGAGGAAUACC